rnacentral:lncRNA from 1 species
GGAGAAUGUGCUGAUGAGAAGAAUGUUUAUUCUGUAGCUGUUGGGUGAAAUGUCCUGUAAAUGUCUGUUAGGCCCAGUUGGUCUAAAUCUAAUGUUUCUUUGUUGAUUUUCUGUCUAGAUGAUCUGUCCAGUGCUGAGACUGGAUGACUGAAGUCCCCAACUACUAUUGUAGUUGGAGUCUAUGUGCCCAUUUAUUUUUUUAGUUUUUUGAGACAGAGUCUCACUCUGUUACCCAGGCUGGAGUGCAGUGGCACAAUUACGGCUCACUGUAGUUUUGACCUCCUGAGCUCAAGUGAUUCUCUUGCUUCAGCCUUUUGAGUAGUUGGAACUACAGGUGUGUGUCACCAUGGCUAAUUUGUUAUUUCUUUAAUAGAGGUGGGGCCUCAGUAUGUUUCCCAGGCAGGUCUUGAACUGCACUCAAGUGAUCUUCCCACCUUGACCUCCCAAAGUGCUGAAAUUACAGGCAUGAGCCACUGUACCUAGCCUAAUUUUUAAAUUAUUUCUAGAGACAAGGUCUCACUAUGUUGCGCAGGCUGGUCUCAAACUCCUGGGCUCAAGCAUUCCUCCCACUUUGGCCUCCCAAAGUACUGGGAUUACAGGUGUGAGAGCCCCUUGAAAUAUAAGAAUAUUGGCUUUAUUUAUUUUGGUGCUCUGGUGUUCGGUGCAUAUAUAUUUACAGUUGUUUUAGCCUUUUGAAUUGAUCUCUUUAUCAUUAUAUAAUGAUUUUCUUUGUCUCUUUUUACAGUUUUGGAUAUAGUCUAUUUUAUCUAAGCAUAGCUAUUCUUGCCUGGUUUUGGUUUUGCUUUGUGUGGAGUAUCUUUUUCCAUACCUACACUUUCAGUCCAUAUGUGUGUUUACGGGUGAAGUGAGUUUUUUGCAGGCAGCAUACAGUUGGGUAAUGGGGUUUUUUGUUUUUUUGUUUAUUUUAAUCCAUUCAGUCUUUCUAUAACUUUUAGGUGGGGAAUUUAAUCCGUUUACAUUCAAGGCUGUUAUUGACAGGUGAAGACUUGCUCUUGUCAUUUUGUGAGUUGUUUUCUGAUUGCUUUGUAUAUCCUUUGUUUUUUCCUCUCAAUGUUUAUCACUGUGAUUUUGUGAUUUUCUGUGGAGAUAAGUUUUCUUUAUCUUCCUCCUUUGUGUAUCUAUAACACUAGUACAUUUUAUGCUUUUGUAUGUUUUCAUGAUGGUGAUUAUCAUCUUUUUGCCUUCAGAUGUAUUAAGCAUUUCUUGUAAGGCUGGUCUAGUUGUGAUGAAUUCCAUCAGUUUUUGUCUGGGAUCUGUGUUUAUUUUAAUUAUGUCUUGUCUUAUUCUCUGUUUUUUGUGUUAUUUUUUAAAAUUAUUUCAGAGAAGAUUGGUUCUUACACUGUGACUAUCCUUUUCUGUUUAUUUAUUUCAUUUUAAUUUUUUUAGAGACAGGAUCUCCCUCUAUUGCCCAUCAUGGAGUGCAGUGGUGUGAUCAUAGCUCAUUGCAGCUUCGGACUCCUGGGCUCAAGCAAUCCACUCACCUCAGUCUCUUGAGUAGCUGGGACUACAGUUGCAUGCCACCUUACCUGGCUUUUUUUUUUUUUUCAGAGACAGGGUCUCAUUUCGUUGCCCAGGCUAGUCUUAAAUUCCUGGCUUCAAGCAAUCCUUCCACCUCAGCUAGGAUUACAGGUGUAAGCCACGAUACCCCACUCUGUGACUAUUCUUAUAUAUUGCUUUUAUGUCUUCGUUUGCUUUGAUUUUUAAUUGCAGAAUGUGUUUAAUAGAUUCUGUAAAUUUAUUGCAGCUUGGUUUUGAUACAUUUGGUUAUGAGUUAGUUAACCAGUGUCCUGGAGGAAUGUUUUGAAGUUAGAUGACAUGAGUAGCAUAAGGGGCUGGCUUUUAGCUCAGAACAACUUUUUUUUUUUUUUUUUUAAUAUGGAGUCUUGCUCUGUCACCCAGGCUGGAGUGCAAUGGCAUGAUCUUGGCUCACUGCAACCUCCAGCUCCUGGGUUUAAGUGAUUCUCCUGCCCCAGCCUCCCGAGUAGCUGGGAUUACAGGUGUGCACCACCACGCCCAGCUAAUUUUUGUAUUUUUAGUAAAAACAGGGUUUCACAAUGUUGGUCAGGCUGGUCUUGAACUGCUGACCUUGUGAUCCACCCACCUCGGCCUCCCAAAGUGCUGCGAUUACAGGUGUGAGCCACUGUGCCCGGUCAGCUCAGAACAACUUGUUGAGAUUAUACGAUGCUUUUCCAAUAAAAAUUAUUUAAUUUUGAUAAAAUAUACUUAAUGGAAAAAUGUAUCUUUUAACAUUUUAAAUUGUACAGUUCAGUGGCAUUAAGUAUAUUCACAUUGUCUUACAACCAUCACUUCCACUCAUCCACAGAACGUUUUUUACCUUGCAAAACUGAAACUCUGUGCUGUUAAACAGUAACUGCCAUUCUACGCCCCCAUCCCAGCCCUUGUCAACCACCAUUCUACUUUGUCUAUGAAUUUGACUGCUCAGAGUACUUCAUAUAAGUGGGAUCAUACAGUUUUUGUCCUUUCAUUACUAGCUUCUUUCCCUUAACAUAAUGUCUUCAAGGAUCAUCCUUGUUGUAGCAUGUGUUAGAAUUUCUUUCCUUUUUAAGUCUAUGAUACACCAUUGUAUAUACAUACUAUAUUUUGUUUAUUCAUCUGUCAGUGGACAUUUGUGUUGCUUCUACAUUUUGGCUGUUGUUAAUACGCUGCUGUGAAUGUGGGUGUACAACUGUGUCUUUGAGAUCUUGUUUUCAGUUCUUUUGAGAUAUAUACCCAUAAGUGGAAUUGCUGGAUCUUAUGGUAAUUCUAUUUUUAAUAUUUUGUUGUGUUUGUGUUUUUUGUCUUAGAUUUUUUUCUUAAUCAAGUUUUUCCAGAAGAGAGUAGCUUUAGGAAGAGAAUAAACACAUACUUUUAAGGUAUUAUCUCAGACUUUAGGCGCAUUAUGAUCAUAUCAGUAGCACCCAUGUACUGAAUAAGUGAACUCAAAGAAAAGUUAUGUUGGGCAACUACCUCAAAGUUUUGUUAUCUCUGCUUGCAAUUUUUGUUCAGUCAUUGCACAAGUGCUUGAGGGCUUACUGCAUGUGAGGCUCUGUAGACUAAGUAUUAAUGAACUUUCUUUUUUGUCCUUGCAGUAGCAGGUACAGCUUUGAUCUCAGUUUUCUGCCAAAUGAAUGGUUCUGUGUUUUGUGCUCAUUCGUUUACAGAGAUCCCUCUGAACCACCUUGGAACCAGAAGGUGUGUGGUCUGAGAACGAUAAAUGGGCUGCUCUCUGCCUCUCUCACAGCAGUUCUGCCCCUCCUUGGGACCACUCGUUUUCUGCAUUCCUGGCCCAUCUUCUAUAUAUCUCUGGUCCAGAUUCCAGAGGAAACCUGUUUGACUUGAAUAGAUGCCAUUGCCCUUAUUGGGCCUUGCCUCAGGAGUUCCUCUGUGUAUCUCUGGUCCAGAUUCCGGAGGAAACCUGUUUGACUUGAGUAGAUGCCAUUGCCCUUAUUGGGCCUUGCCUCAGGAGUUGCUGGUUAGCCUAUGAAGGGGUUCCCUUUGGGUUGAUGACAUUGCUCCCAUCCAGAAAGUGGCUACUUCUACCCUCCUACUCCCACCACUCUGCAUGCAGGAGCUGUUAUCAUCAAAAGGGAAUGUCCACUGUCUGCUCUGUACCAGAGAAGUGCUAGGCUUCAUAAAUAUUGGUAAUCGAUACCUGAAUGGGAUGAAAAUUGGCAGGUCCUGGGAUGGAUGGCCUGGUUCAUCUGCAUCAGAACUGGAAAAACAAAAUCACACCAAAUUGCAGACUUUUUUGGAAGAGCGUGUUAGACAAGUGAACUCUGCCCCCAGGAGCAGAGUAUCCAGUUCUGUGUCCAAGCACUCUAUGAAUCUUUACCCUUGUUGAAGAAAUACUCAGAGACAGAAGCAUUUAGAAAAGGAAAAGUUUACCUGCAAAGAGAGCAAGAGAAUGACUGGCUUGCCUAAUAAAAAACAAAUAAAAGAAGUGUGGAUACUGAAAGCAUCUGACAUGUUGAUGACAACCUCUGUGAGAAGAUAAAAGGUCUGAUGGAGAUGUACAAGACGACUAAUGUUGGUUCCCUGCCUGCUAACACAACAUCCGUUCUGCAGCCCAUGGGUCAAAGAGUAAUUUCAACUUUCAAGUCUUAUUAUUUAAGAAGUGCAUUUCAUAAGGCUAUAGCUGUCACUGACAGUGAUUCCACUGAUGGAUCUGGGCAAAAUAUAUUGAAAACCUUCCAGAAAGGAUUCACCAUUCAAGAUGCUCUAGGCUGCUCUGGUCUGUAACUUUCCAUUCCAACAGUAAAAAAUCUGGGAUCUCCUACUUUUCACCUCAGAAAGCUACAAAUGUAAAAGGAAAAAUAAAUUUGUUUUGAGAGGAAAUCACUUAUUCAAAUAGCCAUGUUAUUCUGUUUUGUUCAUAAUAUCAACGGCUCUAUAAAUAAAGAACUUUAAAGAAAUAGCAAAUUCACCCAGAGAAAGCUCUGCCUGCAAUAUUUUUCAGGUCAUGUCACACAAAGAAAAAUAACAAUGCUUGCACAGCCCACUGAGAUAAAAUGGACAAGGAUGUUCAGUGGUGGAGGUGAUGGCUCAAGGGACUUAGGAAUCCGUCUGGAAUGCUGAGAGACCAACACGUCCACUAACCUACAGCUAUUCACACCAUCAGGGAAGUGCUGGACUAAAGUAACAAGGCUCUAACAACUCCAGGGAUUUCUAGAAUUGUGUAUCAUAUACUAUUCCUAAAAUAUAAAAAGUAACAUUAAGGUCUGAG